CCCUAUGGGGUGCGCAUCGAGAGACUCGAGGACGUCAUCCGGGCCCUUGAGCAGAACCAACAGCCACAGGAUGUCUUCGAGUUUGUGCCGCACCAAACGGUCGAAUGCCUUCAGCGGUCGGGCCUGGCUGAGGCCAACGAAGGCAUCCUUAAGAAGUACGGAAUCACACAGGAUCGACGACUAUGAAACUCUGGCCUCUGCUUGGGUUGUUUCUCUUGGCCGGUGUGUGCCGGGCGCAUCCGGGCCAGACAUUUGGCGGCGCGGCUUCACCGUGGGCCGCUUCCAUCGUCACCCUUGAGAUUUCCUGCAAGCAAUAUCGUCAGUAUCAGCCCUGGGACACCCGCGUUCAGGGCACGCAGAAAGAUGGGAUCGGGAUUGGCGGGAGAGC
rnacentral:rRNA from 1 species